AAAAAAUUGUGAUCUUGGUGGGAAGUUCCUUGAGUGCGAAGAGACUGCGUAACAACGGAUUUUUGCUGAAAAACUUGUAAAGACGCAUAGUUUUGUGUGGCACGAUUACACGUUUCUUAAAAUAGAAGAAGAGCAAUUCGUUCAUCCGGUUACAAGGAUUGCGGACGAACGCAUACCCGUCACGGCAAACAAUUUACCCUAAAUAAGUACUGCACAUGGUGUAGUAUCCAAUGUUCGUUAGCUCAGGACUACGUUUUCUGGCACUAGUUUGAAAAAAAGUGGGGUCACGGAGAUUACGAGCCGUGGAUGAACGAGUUAUAAAACUGCUGCAGUACAAAGCAAGGUUUGCUAGGCCUACUGAUGGGUAUUCUGCGGCGCAUUGCAAAGUCCGUGCAACGAUGAGAAAGGCACGGAGUAGAGUGAUUUACGCGACGUAUGCUAGGCUCCUUCAUCUUCCGCGAGCGUACGGACGAGGAAUUUACGUUGGUUUUUUUUAACGGGCCUUAGAUUCAUCCAGCCAAACUCGACAGCUGAAAUUCUAACCUAUUUACUGGCUGUUUAGAGGAACAGCUUGGAUUCAAUUCAAGACAAGUGCACAACGUUCUACAGAGAACUAAGCCUCUCUUUCCGACAAUGAAGCUUCACGCACCUUCACACCAAAAUUUAAAUUUUAACGUCUUUAUCAACAUCGUCCGGAAAUCAAAUCUAU